GUGGGAACUAAGCCUAAGGCGUUGGAAUGCUACGCAGGAGGACCCAGGUUCACGUCCCGGGUCCGGCAGACCUGAGAAGUUUUUUCGGGAUUCCGGGCCUGGCUCGGCCAUCUCCGUUCUUCACCAUUCAACUUACUCCACGGGUGUGUAUGCAGCUCGUGGUUGGAACUGGCCUCGCCCUUAGUAAUCUCACUGAUUGGAAAGGGCGUAAAAAAAUAGGAGACGCAGAUUAGGCUAGGAGGGUGUGAAAGAUGUACUGAAACGGCUAGAGAUAACUAAAGUUAAAAAUGAAUGAGUGCUUAGAAAGUGUUGUAAAAGCGAAAUAACAGUAACCCUAUAAUUAAAUUAUUAAUUAAAAUAACACAAAAUUGGGAAAUUUCAUAAUACAGUAUUUAU
rnacentral:lncRNA from 1 species